rnacentral:misc_RNA from 1 species
UGGUCAGGUCGGUGUUGCGAGGCUUGUUGGUCAAUGGAGGUCGGAGCGGCAGAUACAUUUCGACGGCAACGGCUGCGUCGACUGCUGGUGUUUUGAAGCCGACGGAGGUUUGGACGGAGUUAAGGAGCAGAUAUGGUACGUCUUUUGAUGUGUUUUACUGGAGGAGGAUGAUAAGCAGCAAUGCGACGGAGACAGCGGUGGCUGAGAAGGUGAAGACGGAGAAGUCGGUGGAGAAACAAGCGGAGAAAGGAGUGGAAUCGUUUAAGACGAGUGAUGGUACGGUGGUCUCGAGUUACUGGGGGAUUUCGAAGCCUAAGAUCUUGAGAGAAGAUGGCACCGAGUGGCCAUGGAAUUGCUUCAUGCC